rnacentral:rRNA from 1 species
GAUGAACGCUGGCGGCGUGCCUAAUACAUGCAAGUCGAGCGAACAGAUGAGGAGCUUGCUCCUCUGACGUUAGCGGCGGACGGGUGAGUAACACGUGGAUAACCUACCUAUAAGACUGGGAUAACUUCGGGAAACCGGAGCUAAUACCGGAUAAUAUAUUGAACCGCAUGGUCAAUAGUGAAAGACGGUUUUGCUGUCACUUAUAGAUGGAUCCGCGCCGCAUUAGCUAGUUGGUAAGGUAACGGCUUACCAAGGCAACGAUGCGUAGCCGACCUGAGAGGGUGAUCGGCCACACUGGAACUGAGACACGGUCCAGACUCCUACGGGAGGCAGCAGUAGGGAAUCUUCCGCAAUGGGCGAAAGCCUGACGGAGCAACGCCGCGUGAGUGAUGAAGGUCUUCGGAUCGUAAAACUCUGUUAUUAGGGAAGAACAAAUGUGUAAGUAACUAUGCACGUCUUGACGGUACCUAAUCAGAAAGCCACGGCUAACUACGUG